GUUGCUUCAUUAUGGUGAACUCUCUCACAUUUAAAUGAGAGAAAUUCAAGUUUCCGGAGCAUAAAUUAAGUAUUUUUAUCGCCAGUAUUUAACAGCUCGAUGUGUCUACCAUUGCAUCGAUGUUACCUGUCUCCUGGUAUAUUU